rnacentral:tRNA from 1 species
UGGCUGUUAGCUCAGUCGGCAGAGCAGCGCACUGUUAAUGCGCCGGUCCCCAGUUCGAGUCUGGGACAGCCAG